UACGUAGGGGGCAAGCGUUGGUCCGGAAUCAUUGGGCGUAAGAGCGUGUAGGCGGCCUGGUAAGUCCGCUGUGAAAGUCCAGGGCUCAACCCUGGAAUGCCGGUGGAAACUGUCAGGCUCGAGUCCGGAAGAGGCGAGUGGAAUUCCUGGUGUAGCGGUGAAAUGCGCAGAUAUCAGGAAGAACACCCGUGGCUAAGGCGGCUCUCUAGUACGGUACUGACGCUGAGACGCGAAAGCGUGGGGAGCGAACAGG
rnacentral:rRNA from 1 species